UUAAAUUGAAGAGUUUGAUCAUGGCUCAGAUUGAACGCUGGCGGCAGGCCUAACACAUGCAAGUCGAACGGUAACAGGAAACAGCUUGCUGUUUCGCUGACGAGUGGCGGACGGGUGAGUAAUGUCUGGGAAACUGCCUGAUGGAGGGGGAUAACUACUGGAAACGGUAGCUAAUACCGCAUAACGUCGCAAGACCAAAGAGGGGGACCUUCGGGCCUCUUGCCAUCGGAUGUGCCCAGAUGGGAUUAGCUUGUUGGUGGGGUAACGGCUCACCAAGGCGACGAUCCCUAGCUGGUCUGAGAGGAUGACCAGCCACACUGGAACUGAGACACGGUCCAGACUCCUACGGGAGGCAGCAGUGGGGAAUAUUGCACAAUGGGCGCAAGCCUGAUGCAGCCAUGCCGCGUGUAUGAAGAAGGCCUUCGGGUUGUAAAGUACUUUCAGCGGGGAGGAAGGGAGUAAAGUUAAUACCUUUGCUCAUUGACGUUACCCGCAGAAGAAGCACCGGCUAACUCCGUGCCAGCAGCCGCGGUAAUACGGAGGGUGCAAGCGUUAAUCGGAAUUACUGGGCGUAAAGCGCACGCAGGCGGUUUGUUAAGUCAGAUGUGAAAUCCCCGGGCUCAACCUGGGAACUGCAUCUGAUACUGGCAAGCUUGAGUCUCGUAGAGGGGGGUAGAAUUCCAGGUGUAGCGGUGAAAUGCGUAGAGAUCUGGAGGAAUACCGGUGGCGAAGGCGGCCCCCUGGACGAAGACUGACGCUCAGGUGCGAAAGCGUGGGGAGCAAACAGGAUUAGAUACCCUGGUAGUCCACGCCGUAAACGAUGUCGACUUGGAGGUUGUGCCCUUGAGGCGUGGCUUCCGGAGCUAACGCGUUAAGUCGACCGCCUGGGGAGUACGGCCGCAAGGUUAAAACUCAAAUGAAUUGACGGGGGCCCGCACAAGCGGUGGAGCAUGUGGUUUAAUUCGAUGCAACGCGAAGAACCUUACCUGGUCUUGACAUCCACAGAACUUUCCAGAGAUGGAUUGGUGCCUUCGGGAACUGUGAGACAGGUGCUGCAUGGCUGUCGUCAGCUCGUGUUGUGAAAUGUUGGGUUAAGUCCCGCAACGAGCGCAACCCUUAUCCUUUGUUGCCAGCGGUCCGGCCGGGAACUCAAAGGAGACUGCCAGUGAUAAACUGGAGGAAGGUGGGGAUGACGUCAAGUCAUCAUGGCCCUUACGACCAGGGCUACACACGUGCUACAAUGGCGCAUACAAAGAGAAGCGACCUCGCGAGAGCAAGCGGACCUCAUAAAGUGCGUCGUAGUCCGGAUUGGAGUCUGCAACUCGACUCCAUGAAGUCGGAAUCGCUAGUAAUCGUGGAUCAGAAUGCCACGGUGAAUACGUUCCCGGGCCUUGUACACACCGCCCGUCACACCAUGGGAGUGGGUUGCAAAAGAAGUAGGUAGCUUAACCUUCGGGAGGGCGCUUACCACUUUGUGAUUCAUGACUGGGGUGAAGUCGUAACAAGGUAACCGUAGGGGAACCUGCGGUUGGAUCACCUCCUUACCUUAAAGAA
rnacentral:rRNA from 1 species